UAAAAAUCAGAUUUUCACAGAAUUUUUGAACAAGUGAGUUUAAAAAUCAUUCCCUCUAAAUUUAUCUUAUUCACAGAUGAACAAAAUCACUUUCACAGAAAUUAUAUGUUUAGUUAUGAUCCUGUAGUAAUAGAACCAUGAUUAGAAUCCAGAUUCCUGGACCACAGUUUGAUAUGCUUGAUGUUCAGCUAACCUAUAAAAUUAAAUUAGGGAUGAUGGUUUAAGAAAAGAAUUCACAUAAAAAUUCUCAUUUAUUUCCUACAUUCAGCAUAUUUUCAUUUCCUGUAGUCCCACUUAUUUCAACUUUAAAAGCCAUAAAAUAUGACAUAACAUUUUCCUGUAUAAAUCUCAAGGCUAAGGUAUAAACAACAUCCAUUCAUUAAAAUGUCAUACUUAUCCUUAAAUAUGUUAAAUGGAAAAAAAUGAAACCAUGAAAAAAGAAAGCUCUUAAAUAGAAGCAUAUUUAUCUCCUCUUGAUUUGGGGAAAAUUUUCCAAGCAUAAAAGAAAUGGCAGCAAAAGUGAGGAAAAGAUGAAAAGAUUUGGCUGCAUUAACAAUAAAAAAAGUUUUUUGCCAAGAAGUAUCUUUAGUAACAUAAAUAUGGGCAAAAAUCAUAAACAGGUGGUUCUCAGAUCAGAUACAUAGCUGUUCAACAUAGAAAAACAGUGUUCAGUGUUACUAUAAACCUAAACAGAAAACCUUGUAUACCUUACUUGGCUGGCAAAAAUUAUUCAGUGUUGGAGAAGGUGGAAUAUAAAUUGGCAGAAUAUUUCUGGAAGGAAAUUUGGCCAUAACAAAAACCUUGAAAAUAUGUCUCCUGUUUAACUCAGCAAUGGUCAAGUACAUGGAUGUGUACAUACAAGAAUAUCCAUCAGUGUUUCAUACAAGGAUAAAAUAUUUUGAAUUUUCUAAAUGCACAUUUCCUCCCUCUGGGUAGCCAUCUUCUCUUCGAAGAGUGACCAUUGCCUCUUUGCCUAGAAAUAUUGGAAAUGCAGGAAUGUUGGCUGGGAUGGAAAAUAAUGACCGAUUCAGUAGGAGGUCAAGCAGUUGGCGUAUUUUGGGGUCAAAGCAGAGUGAACACCGUCCCUCAUUACAUCGAUUUAUUAGCACCUAUUCCUGGGCAGAUGCUGAAGAAGAAAA